AUUGACCAACAUUCCAAUUGAAAGUGUAUCUACAGUUGACGAUCUCAAUAGCAAUAAGGUUGGUGUUGAACAGGAAGAAUGUCUAGCAGCUAACACCUCACACUUAACAGGGAAAAGGCUGGAUUUGUCUGAUAGAACAAUGAAAACCAAACUUAAAAGGAGUUAGAAAAAUUGAAGAAGAAGAAAUUAAAAAAGAAAAAUAACAAGAAGUGGUCCUGAAUUGCCCAACUUGCACAAGCCACCGAGGCAGCAUCAGUGUCAUCAACCUCUGAUCCCACAGAGUUUGUCAAAACAGGUAUUCCUGAACCAAGACCAACAAGUACACCGCUAACACCAAUUUUCAACAGCGAAGGCUGCCUAGUAUUCAGCAAAUUUGAUUUAGGAGAACUAUCUAAUCCCUCACCCAUUCUGAACAAGAACACUUUAGAUUGAAAAGUAGCAACGAUAAAAAAAAACUCAAAGCCAAAGUGAAAAUCUUGGAUGGCCAAGCUGAAGUUGGAAUGUGAGAAGUAUUGAAGAGAAACAGGCAUGAAAAGGUGCUUUGCAAAGAGCUGAAGGUUUUCAGGUAAAAAACAAUGUGGAAUGGCUUGCUAAAUCUAUUAUGAAACAAGAUGAAAUCAAAUCAGAUAGUAAAAAGAAGUUGGCUGAACGCAUCGAAGAAUAGGAAAAGAGAAAGGAAUAACAACAGAAAACGAGAAAAGCCAACAUUAAGAAAAAGAAAACUGAGAAGAAAGAACAUAAACUGAAUGAACGCCUCACACUUAACAGAGGAAAAGCUGGAAUUGUCUGAUAAGACAACGAAAAUCCAAUUUAAACGGAAGUUAGAGGGAAUGAAGAAGAAAUUAAAAAGAAAAAGUAAGAAGAAGAGGUCCUGAAUUGCCAAACAUGCUCGAGCCACCAAGGCAGUAUCUGUGUCAUCAACCUCUGGUCUUUCAGAGUUUGUUCAAACAGAAAUUCCUGAACCAAGACUAGCAAGUACACUGGCAACACCAAUUUUUAACAGUGAAGGCUGCCUAGUUUCCAGCAAAUUUGAUUUU